UACGGGGGAGGCAGCUGUUGUCGAAUUACUGGGCGUAAAGGGCUCGUAGGCGGCUUUCUAAGUCAGAGGUGAAAUCCCGGAGCUCAACUCCGGAACUGCCUUUGAUACUGGAAAGCUUGAGUUCGGGAGAGGUGAGUGGAACUGCGAGUGUAGAGGUGAAAUUCGUAGAUAUUCGCAAGAACACCGGUGGCGAAGGCGGCCCACUGGUCCGGUACUGACGCUGAGGUGCGAAAGCGUGGGGAGCAAACAGG
rnacentral:rRNA from 1 species